AGAGUUUGAUCCUGGCUCAGAAUGAACGCUGGCGGCAGGCCUAACACAUGCAAGUCGAACGGGUCCUUCGGGACUAGUGGCGGACGGGUGAGUAACGCGUGGGAAACUACCCUUUGGUACGGAACAACUCGGCGAAAGCUGAGUUAAUACCGUAUGUGUCCUUCGGGAGAAAGAUUUAUCGCCAAAGGAUGGGCCCGCGUUGGAUUAGCUAGUUGGUAGGGUAACGGCCUACCAAGGCGACGAUCCAUAGCCGGCCUGAGAGGAUGAUCAGCCACACUGGGACUGAGACACGGCCCAAACUCCUACGGGAGGCAGCAGUGGGGAAUCUUAGACAAUGGGGGAAACCCUGAUCUAGCCAUGCCGCGUGAGUGAUGAAGGUCUUAGGGUUGUAAAGCUCUUUUGUGCGGGAAGAUAAUGACGGUACCGCAAGAAUAAGCCCCGGCUAACUUCGUGCCAGCAGCCGCGGUAA
rnacentral:rRNA from 1 species